GCCUGAAGUGCUCGGAUAAAAGGUAAGAGUGAACAUGAAGGAAGAAACAUUUCAAAAGCCCUGAGCAGAGGAAGGAAUAAAUGUUGUUCACAGAGCACAGCAACCAUUCUAGACAAAGAACCAGCCACUUCAUCAGAGCCAUUUGAAACUUUCUCAUCCUGAUCAACUUGCUUUUCACAUUCCUCUCCAGCAUUCAUGUCUUGAAUUCUCACAUUACCAUCUGCCUUUCGUACAUCAGGGAUUGUGAAAA
rnacentral:misc_RNA from 1 species